CCUACGGGGGGCAGCAGUGGGGAAUUUUGGACAAUGGGCGCAAGCCUGAUCCAGCCAUUCCGCGUGAGUGAAGAAGGCCUUCGGGUUGUAAAGCUCUUUCGCAAGGGAAGAAAACUUAUCCUCUAACAUAGGAUGAGGUUGACGGUACCUUGAUAAGAAGCACCGGCUAACUACGUGCCAGCAGCCGCGGUAAUACGUAGGGUGCGUACGUUACUCGGAGUGAGCGGGCGUAAUGCGUGCACAGGCAGUUGAAAUCCCCGAGCUCAACUUGGGAACUGCGGUUGAAACUACAAGACUAGAAUAGGUCAGAGGGGGGUAGAAUUCCACGUGUAGCAGUGAAAUGCGUAGAGAUGUGGAGGAAUAUCAAUGGCGAAGGCAGCCCCCUGGGAUCAUAUUGACGCUCAUGCACGAAAGCGUGGGGAGCAAACAGGAUUAGAUACCCGAGUAGUC
rnacentral:rRNA from 1 species